UACGAAGGGGGCUAGCGUUGCUCGGAAUUACUGGGCGUAAAGCGCACGUAGGCGGUCUUUUUAAGUCGGGGGUGAAAUCCUGGAGCUCAACUCCAGAACUGCCUUCGAUACUGAAAGACUUGAGUCCGGGAGAGGUGAGUGGAACUGCGAGUGUAGAGGUGAAAUUCGUAGAUAUUCGCAAGAACACCAGUGGCGAAGGCGGCUCACU
rnacentral:rRNA from 1 species